UUGGCGGGAGAGUUCGCUUAGGGACGCCAACCCACGCGCAGUUACCGCCAAGAAUUAGCCUCGGGUGGGUGUGCGCUUCCCUUGCUGCCCUUCUCUUCCUUUGUUCUGCUCUGUUUGUUGUCGCAGUACAAGAGAAGAGUGCAGAUAAAUAGUUUGUGAUCCCAGGAGAACACAAGAAUCCGUGAUAUGAAGAAAAAACUGAGAAAAGAGAAGAAAAAAGAAGAAAAGAGGAGGAGAAAGAGAAGAUGAAUGAAAUGAAGUCCAUCAUUACAGAAGAAGAGGAAGCAGAGGAAGAGGCAGCCCUAUACUUCUCAAGAAACUACAAGGUUCUUCACUAGUUCACAUCUGUUAUACCUGAAGCUGCACCGGAUGGGCACCAGUUGGCUCUCAGGGGAUGUGUUUUACUGAUCACACCCAUCAUCGGAGGGUCCAGGAAGGGCAGUUCUCUCUCUCCACGUUUACUGAUGAGAAGAAAAAAGAAGAGAAGGAGGAGGAAGAGAGGAUGAAAUAAAAUGGACUCAAUCAUUACAAAGCGAGAGGGAGCAGAGGAAGAGGCAGCACCACCACCACCACCACCACUACUACUACUACUACUACUACUACUACUACUACUACUACUACUACUACUAGUACUACUAUUAACACCACCACUACUACUACUACAAUUUUAAUUUUGAAUAUGCACACAGAAUGAGAGAGAGAGAGAGAGAGAGAGAGAGAGAGAGAGAGAGAGAGAGAGAGAGAGAGAGAUUUAAACCCUAAAA